UUUUGAGAGUUUGAUCCUGGCUCAGGACGAAUGUUGGCGGCGUGCCUAAUCUAUGCAAGUCGAACGCUUUAACCGCAAGGUUAAAGAGUGGCGAACGAGUGAGUAACACGUAGGAAUCUACCCCUAUCACAGGGAUAAUUCGUCGAAAGACGGACUAAUAUCUGAUGGUCUCUAGGUUUAAAUCUGGAGUAAAGUUUUGGCGCAAGCCAAUAUGGAUAGGGAGGAGCCUGUGGGCUAUCAGCUAGUUGGCGGGGUAAAUGCCCACCAAGGCUAUGACGGCUAGGGGGUGCGAGAGCAUGAUCCCCCACGAUGGGACUGAGACACGGCCCAUACACCUACGGGUGGCAGCAAGUGGGAAUAUUGCGCAAUGGACGAAAGUCUGACGCAGCGACGCCGCGUGAAGGAUGAAGGCCUUCGGGUCGUAAACUUACGCUAAGAAGCAUCGGCUAACUACGUGCCAGCAGCAGCGGUAAUACGUAGGAUGCAAACAUUGUCCGGAUUUAUUGGGCGUAAAGAGUUCUGUAGGCGGAUUUCUAAGUUGCAAGUUAAAAACCCCGGCCUAACCGGGGGCGGGCUUGCAAUACUGGAAAUCUAGAGUUACCUAGGGGCAAGCGGAACAUAUGGAGUAGGAGUGAAAUCCGUUGAUACCAUAUGGAACACCAAAGGCGAAGGCAGUUUGCUGGGGGUAUACUGACGCUAAGAGACGAAAGCGCGGGGAGCAAAACGGAUUAGAUACCCGUGUAGUCCGCGCUGUAAACAAUGCCUGCUGGAUACCUAGCCACGCUUAGCGUGGUCGGGUGUCGAAGCUAACGCGUUAAGCAGGCCGCCUGGGAAGUACGGUCGCAAGAUUAAAACUCAAAGGAAUUGGCGGGGACCCGCACAAGCGGUGGAGCAUGUGGUUUAAUAGGAUGAUGACCCCAGAACCUCACCCAGGCUUGACAUGCAGAUGCAAAUCCGAUGAAAGUCGGACUCCUUCGAGGGUUCUGCACAGGUGUCGCAUGGCUGUUGUCAGCUCGAGUCGUGAGAUGUUCGGUUAAGUCCGUUAUCGAGCGCAACCCCUACUGCUAGUUGUAUCACUCUAGCGGGACUGCCCUCGUAAGAGGGAGGAAGGUGGGGAUGACGUCAAGUCAGCAUGGCCUUUAUGCCUGGGGCUACACACAUGCUACAAUGGCCGGUACAACAGGUUGCAAUCCCGCGAGGGUGAGCCAAUCCUUAAAACCGGUCUCAGUUCAGAUUGAAGGCUGCAACUCGCCUUCAUGAAGUAGGAAUCGCUAGUAAUCGCUGGUCAGCUAUACAGCGGUGAAUACGUUCUCGGGUCUUGCACACACCGCCCGUCAAGUCAGCAAAGCUAGAACUAUCUAAAGUCCCCGUUAAAAGGGCCUAGGUUAGGGCUAGUGAUGAGGAUUAAGUCGUAACAAGGUAGCCGUAGGGGAAUCUGCGGCUGGAUCACCUCCUUUC
rnacentral:rRNA from 1 species